CAGCAAACACGAGCUCAUGCUGGUGUCCAUUGCAGCUAUCGAACUUAAUAAGGAAAAAAUAUCUAGCUCGUACCAGCAUGGAAACUGAGAAUGUUACAUGGGAGUAAACUAUUCUACCCUGAGUCACGCUAGCGCUAGCAAGUUGCCCCAGACAUUGAUUUUGGUGGUGUCCUAUCACUCAAGAAGUAACGCAUGUAACUACUUAGUUGCACGUGUUUCUUCAAAGUUGUGCAGUAUCCCACUAAGCUCUUGUGCAUGUAAAUUGUUUUAAAGGAGCCCUUUUUCUCCAAAUGGCUACACUGCAUUCAUCGGCAGAAGUGCCAUCAUCAACCUAGCCAUUCUAUGAUGUGCGUUCGGCUCCACAUGUGCAGCUUCAUAGAUGUAAACAUCUAGUGCAGUUUUGCACCGUGUGUCAUACCACAGGAGAUGCGUAACAUUGAGCUAUACCGCUCCGCGCUCAGUACUUACAGUACAAAGCAUCAUCAAACACUUCUUGACGG
rnacentral:lncRNA from 1 species